GAUGAACGCUGGCGGCGUGCCUAAUACAUGCAAGUCGAGCGAACGGACGAGAAGCUUGCUUCUCUGAUGUUAGCGGCGGACGGGUGAGUAACACGUGGAUAACCUACCUAUAAGACUGGGAUAACUUCGGGAAACCGGAGCUAAUACCGGAUAAUAUUUUGAACCGCAUGGUUCAAAAGUGAAAGACGGUCUUGCUGUCACUUAUAGAUGGAUCCGCGCUGCAUUAGCUAGUUGGUAAGGUAACGGCUUACCAAGGCAACGAUGCAUAGCCGACCUGAGAGGGUGAUCGGCCACACUGGAACUGAGACACGGUCCAGACUCCUACGAGAGGCAGCAGUAGGGAAUCUUCCGCAGUGGGCGAGAGCCUUGCGGAGCAACGCCGCGUGAGUGAUGAAGGUCUUCGGAUCGUAAAGCUCUGUUAUUAGGGAAGAACAUAUGUGUAAGUAACUGUGCACAUCUUGACGGUACCUAAUCAGAAAGCCACGGCUAACUACGUG
rnacentral:rRNA from 1 species